AAUUUGCUUCCUAAAUCUGCGUUGACAGCCAGAAAACCACUGCUCUUCGCAAAUCGCAACCGCAGGAGAACUAAAGCUUGAAGCUUGAAGCAGGCUCCUUACUCUGAUCCUAGGACCAAUCUCCGAUACGCUAAUACAGAAGUCUUCAAUAUGAACAAUUAAAAAUUGAAAGUAGCGGUUAUUAGGGAUUUGUGAUAGACAUAUGCGAAGCUUCGUCGUUGAGAACAGGGACUCCGUAUUCCAUGGCGCUUUUCGCCAGCUUCACCGACGGAAGCGGAGGCGAGGAUGACGGAUGACGAUGGCGAGGAUGGGCUGUGAUAGAUGGAGGCGUCGAAGAAGAAAUUGAAGCUAUCGCCCAAUUUUUUUUUCUUAUUUUUAUUAUUUUAAAUGUAUGUUUUUCUUAUUUUUUAUUAUUUUAAAUUCCAUGUAAACAAGCCACCUAAGCGUAACCGGGACACGUCAUGAUAAAUGGGAUGGUAACCUGCUAAAAAAAGUCAAUUGAACAAAUUUAGCUAGUAAAUGUGGCUAAUUACACUAUUUUAGUUCGUGGUGAAAAUUGAGCAUUUCCUAGUAGUAGAUGGGCCUAUUUGACACUUCUACCUUGAUUUUAUAUGUGUACACGUAUGCUUCCAAUGA